rnacentral:rRNA from 1 species
AUACGGAGGGUCCAAGCGUUAUCCGGAAUCAUUGGGUUUAAAGGGUCCGCAGGCGGUCAAUUAAGUCAGAGGUGAAAGCCCAUCGCUCAACGAUGGAACUGCCUUUGAUACUGGUUGACUUGAGUUAUACGGAAGUAGAUAGAAUAAGUAGUGUAGCGGUGAAACGCAUAGAUAUUACUUAGAAUACCGAUUGCGAAGGCAGUCUACUACGUAUAUACUGACGCUGAGGGACGAAAGCGUGGGGAGCGAACAGGAUUAGAAACCCCAGUAGUCC